rnacentral:rRNA from 1 species
CCAGGCUCGAAAUGCAGGAGACGACUUCAGAGAUGAAAUUUCCCGUAAGGGCUGCUGUAUAGGUGCUGCAUGGCUGUCGUCAGCUCGUGCCGUGAGAUGUUGGGUUAAGUCCCGCAACGAGCGCAACCCUUAUCGAUAGUUGCUAGCGGUUCGGCCGAGCACUCUAUUGAGACUGCCGUUGACAAAACGGAGGAAGGUGGGGAUGACGUCAAGUCCUCAUGGCCUUUAUGUCCAGGGCUACACACGGGCUACAAUGGCAAGUACAAAGCGCUGCAAACUCGCGAGAGGGAGCCAAUCGCAAAAAGCUUGUCUCAGUUCGGAUUGGAGUCUGCAACUCGACUCCAUGAAGCUGGAAUCGCUAGUAAUCGCAGAUCAGCACGCUGCGGUGAAUACGUUCCC